rnacentral:lncRNA from 1 species
GAGGAUUUUGGGGAUUUUUGGGAAUUUUUUGGGGGGAAUUUUGGGAAUUUUUGUGAAUUUUUUGGGGGGAAUUUUGGCCGUUUUUGGGGUGAUUUUGUGGGGAUUUUUGGCCAUCCCAGAAUUUAAAUGAAUUUUAACCCUUCCGUGGCCGGGAAUCCCGGGGGAAUCCCUGGAAUUCCGGGAAUUCCGAGCCAUUCCCAAAGCUUUUCCCGGUUUUUCCCCCCAGGUCUCGGCCCGGGAGCGCCGGGAGCGGCUCCAGGAGAAAUCGCGGCUGAGCCGGAGCCUCCUCCCGCUGCUGCCCCAGCUCCUGGAAAAGUUCUCGGCCGAGCCCGAGGCGGUGGCGGCGCUGCUGGAGCUGCUCCCGCACCUGGAGCUCGGAAUGUUCCGGACGGCGCGGCUCGACAAGGUGGGCACGGGACGGACCAGUAUAAACCAGUACAAACCAGUACAGACCGGUUCAGACCAGUACGGACCAGUAUAGACCAGUACAGACCGGUUCAAACCAGUACAGACCAGUAUAAACCAGUUCAGACCAGUCCAUCCCAGUCCAUCCCAGUCCAUCCCAGUCCAUCCCAGUUUCCAUUCCCAGGUCCUGGAUCGGGUUCUGGAGCGGAUCCUGGAGCUGUUCCGCUGCCACUCGGAGCCGGUUCCGGUUCCCCUGAUCCCAUCCCAGUCUAUCCCAGUUUAUCCCAGUUUAUCCCAGUUUAUCCCAGUCCAUCCCAGUCCAUCCCAGUUUCCAUUCCCA